AUUGAACGCUGGCGGCAUGCCUUACACAUGCAAGUCGAACGGCAGCACGGGUGAUUGCUCCUGGUGGCGAGUGGCGAACGGGUGAGUAAUACAUCGGAACAUGUCCUGUAGUGGGGGAUAGCCCGGCGAAAGCCGGAUUAAUACCGCAUACGAUCUACGGAUGACAGCGGGGGACCUUCGGGCCUCGACCUAUGAGGUUGGCCGAUGGCAGUUUACGUAGUUGGGGGGGUAAAGGCAGACCAAGGCGGAGCACAGCAGCGGGUCAUAGCGGAGGACCAGCCACUCUGGGACGGGGACACGGCCCAGACUCCUACGGGAGGCAGCAGUGGGGAAUUUUGGACAAUGGGCGAAAGCCUGAUCCAGCAAUGCCGCGUGUGUGAAGAAGGCCUUCGGGUUGUAAAGCACUUUUGUCCGGAAAGAAAUCCUUGGCUCUAAUACAGUCGGGGGAUGACGGUACCGGAAGAAUAAGCACCGGCUAACUACGUG
rnacentral:rRNA from 1 species